rnacentral:rRNA from 1 species
GUGUCAGCAGCCGCGGUAAUACGGAGGAUGCGAGCGUUAUCCGGAUUUAUUGGGUUUAAAGGGUGCGUAGGCGGAAGAAUAAGUCAGUGGUGAAACCCUGCAGCUUAACUGUAGACUUGCCAUUGAUACUGUUUUUCUUGAGUUUGGUCAAGGCAGGCGGAAUGUGUAAUGUAGCGGUGAAAUGCUUAGAUAUUACACAGAACACCGAUUGCGAAGGCAGCUUGCUGGGCCGACACUGACGCUGAGGCACGAAAGCGUGGGGAUCGAACAGGAUUAGAAACCCCUGUAGUCC